CCCAAUCCUCCCAGCAUCAGAGUCUUUUCCAAUGAGUCAACUCUUUGUAUGAGGUGGCCAAAGUACUGGAGUUUCAGCUUUAGCAUCAUUCCUUCCAAAGAACACCCAGGGCUGAUCUCCUUUAGAAUGGACUGGUUCAGCUUCAUAGAUACCUUCAAUUGUGUCAUAUUUUAUAUUGCUCAUAUAUGUGAUAUCAUAUAGCAUUUGUCUUUCUCUCCCUGACAUACUUCACUUAGUAUGAGAAUCUCUAGUUGCAUCCCUGUUGCUGCAAAUGGCAUUUUUCAUUCUCUUUUAUGCUUGAGUAAUAUUCCAUUGUAUAUAUGUACCACUUCUUCUCUAUCAAUUCAUUUGUCGAUGGACACUUAGGUUGCUUCCAUGUCUUGGAUAUUGUAAAUAGAGCUGCUAUGAACAUAGGAGUGUGUAUAUCUUUUAGAAUUAAGAGUUUUCUUCUGGAUAUAUGCCCAGAAGUGGGGUUGUUCUGGCUGUUGUGAAUGCCUGAAUCUUGACAACAAUCUUCACAUGCUAAAGAAACAUAAUAAACUAGAAGUUGAGUGCUUCCUUCAAGAACAUGUUCCGCCCAGCAGAGUAUCAGUAGUCAAUUUUCUCCAUUUUUCGUGCUCAUUAUUUCAGGAGAUUCCGUUUGAUGAGAGAGCUGCACAUACAAGAGACUUGCGGGAAGCAUGGACCUUAGUGAAAAAUGGCCUUUGGAGGAAGGAACCUGGCUGUCUCACGCUGGAGUUCAUCAUUUUGCCAACACCAGAGGGGCCCAGGGCACAAAGUUGAACCUCCUCAGCUCCACACACAGCCUGCCUUUCCUGGUCUGACCUCUGCCUGCCUCUCUAGACUCAUCUCCUGCAGCUCCUCACUAAACACGAAGCCUUCCUCAUCACCGUGUCUACCUCCCCCUGGAUCCUUGAGUGCCUCACGUCCUCACACACCUGUGAGACUCUGCAAAGACUGUCAUUAGUAUAUGCCUUCUACCUGGCCAGGUCCUGCUCAUCUCUGAAGCGCCAGCUUCAGUCAUCUCUUCUGGGAUCUCUUCACCCGUCCACCCCCAUCCUAAUCGGAAUGAGCAGUCUAUCUUCAGUAUUGCCACAGAGCUUGCAGCUUUCCAUGUCACCAAGUUUCUACAUUGUAUUGUCACUGUCUGCAUCCUAGAUGACCUGUGAGCCUCUCAGGGGCAGACAUCUUGUUUUAUUUGCUUUUGCAUCCCUUUCACAAGCAGCCUGGCAAAUAUUUGAUACGUAUUUGGUGGCUGGCUGGCUGGGUGGCUUGAUGAAUGAAUGGAUGUAUGAAUGAAUGAUGGCUGAAACCAGGUCCUCUGCAGAUUUCUGUGGUCACUGAGAAUGUCUUUUGACUGUGGCAGCCCAAUGCAUUGCACAACUGCUUCUGGAAUCACUCCACCUUGCUUUGGGCACACCUAGAGCAUUUUUCUCAGUGACCCCAGGCUUGUUCAUUAAAGCUGGAUGGCAUAGGAGAGAAGUAAGUAAGUAUGGUUUGCCUGCAUCAUCCAUCAUAGAAGUUUAGAGCAGAAAGAAGCCUCAGGGGUCACUGUGACAACAGGGUGGCUAGAAAUUCUACUGUGAGCAGUUCCAAGCAUUAUCACACAUCUCCUUGAGUUCACCACAUCAUAUAUCUAGUCUUUGGAGAUACAUCUGGCUUGUAGGAAGGGGACCCAGCCCGGUGUCUAGAUCUGCCUGAUGGAGAGGCACUGCUCUUGGGUAGUGAUGAGCAUCUGGAGCUGAUGGAAAAGCUUAGCUCAGAUGGGCAGCAGAUCCCUUGUUAUCUGGCCCCAGUUCAGACAGUCGGUCUGUGAUGUUGGCGGUGUCCAAGACAGACUUUGGCUGUGUUGUCCUGUGUGGGUGAAGCACCCUCUCAAGGAAGCAGUAUGCUGAAAUGUGAAAGUUCUUGUGAGCGGCUGGAUCUGGGUGGUUCUCAGGCUGGACUAAGCGGGGCUUCCCUGGUAGCUCAGUCGGUAAAGAAUCUGCCUGCACUGCAGGAGACCCGCGUUCUCUCCUUAGAUUGGGAAGAUCUCCUGGAGAAGGAAAUGGCAAUCCACUUAAGUACUCUUGCCUGGAAAGUCCUAUGGAUAGAGGAACCUGGUGGGCUAUGGUCCAUGGCAUCUCAAGAGUUGGACAUGACUUAACAACUAAACUACCACCACCUCCAGAGGCCUAGGUCAGGGUUCAGGGAAAGGAUGCAGGUCCUAAGAGGACUAGGUAGGGUGGCAAAAUGGAAAUACGGUGAAAUGUUGAAAUGAGGUGAGGAAACUCACACUCAGAAACAAACAAACUUGCACAGUGGGAGACCCCUGUGCCAGACUUAAGUCAGAACUGGAUGAAUUACAAAAAAAUAUUUGUAAUCCCUCAUUAGAUAGAUACCUUACACCGGACGUGACACUACACCUUUCUUUAGUAUAGAUAAAGACCAUCACUGUUCAUUCUCACAACAACCUUAUUCUCCUUUUAUGAAUGAAAAAAAUUGAGCCUGAAGAUGUUGGGAAACUUGCUCAAGGUCACAGGCAAUGUGGGGAUUUGAACGGAGGUCUGCCUGACACUUAACCAUGCCAAUUUAUUGCCUGACGAUUCACCCUCCAAAACUAGCUACUCUGCCUUCUCAAUUAAAGGCUCUGGGGGUCCAGUUACAGACUUUUUUUUUUUUUUUGCUGCUUAUUUCAUUGUCACAGUAGAAAAGACAACUAGCUCUUAACAAGGCCAGAAAACCCACAGUGCUGUUGCAAUGUGUGGGUUACCAUCCAAGAGCCACCAAUGGGCACCUCAGCUAAUGCAUUGCCAAGGCCUUGAUCCACCUGCUUCAGACCAUCUUCCCUCCACCUCUUACCCCACGUCCCCCCUCUCCCAACACUGGCUGGUCCCAGCUGCUCCAUCUCGGAGGCUCACUGUGGGCUAAUGGGGUUUACAUUUCUAGCGAGCUACCAGGAAAGUCCUGAAAGUGCGCAAGCCUUGAGAUCUUAUUCUUG
ensembl:lncRNA